rnacentral:ribozyme from 14 species
GAGAAAAAAAGAAGAAAAAAAAAAGCGAAGACACAUAAAACUUUAGCUUCUUUGUGUCUUCUUCUUCUUCUUUUGACGCGUUCGUUUUCCUUUUA